ACACUAUCUUUAAGUUGGUCAACCAUAUCGGAUUUCGGUUAUUUAUACUAAGUAAUAUGCAUGGAGGGUAUAAAUAUCGCGCGAAUAAACGAAAACGACUGAAAAUAUUGUCGGAGAUUAAUGAGUGCCAGACAGCAGAAGAUAUAAUUAUGAUCUAGCACGUGCAUGUACAUCUUACGUUAUUAAAACAAAAGUUAAAUUAGAGUAUUUCGUAGCUAGCUUUAUUCUUUUUACAGAAUUGCAAUUCGCUUCAGAAAAAAAGUGGUUACUCGUAUACCAUUUUCAAAGUCUUUUUGCAAACUGUUAUGUUGAAACUGAUUCAAAUAGUCACGGGAAGUGGGUAUUGAAUGAAGGUACAUGUACUGUCACAUAAAAUACCACGAAUGAAAUAACGCAGUGUGCACGUAUUGGAAGUACGUGCGAUUCAGACACAACGGUUAAGUAGGCCUAUCCUACCAUAUUAAACAUUCCUUGAAACAAAAUUUACCAGACAAAUUCCUUCCACCCCAUACCACAUCAUUGUGUUUGUAGUUAAAAUUGCUAUAUUUUUUUUUCAAAUGUAAGGAUGGAAUCAGUAAGAAUUACUGCUGAUUAUUCAGAAUACUGGAGAUCGAACACGCUACCAGUUGCCUCGCAGUUUGGUAUUCACGAGCUUGUGUUCUAUUGAACUCUGUUUAAAGACAUGCAUGAAGUGCUACGAAACUGUUCCGAUAUACGCAACGUUGUUAUAAUGUUAAUCAGUUUUCAAAGAGAUGUUUAGAAGAAUGUUACGAUUUUCAAGUUAUUUCUUCCAGUGAAAAUAACAGUAACUCAAUACGAAGCACGGUUCAAACAUGGUCGAGCAGUGAAUACCCUACCAUGUAAUUAUUUAAUAAUGUUUUUUAGAUCAUAACAAUCUGAUUCAUAAAAAGCAAAGUUUGUAACAAUGCGGGAUACUUCAGAUUUUAUGUUUCUUCCAAAUCUUGGUAGGAACAUUGUUUACUGGUUUCAAAUGUAAAAUUUGUACACAGUGUUAGGCCGAUUAUGGGAAAAAAUGCGCAUACUGCAAUUUUCAAAAGAGUGAAACAAGCGUAUUUCUUGUUAUAGACUUGUUAUAGACUUAAGGAAAAACUGGUCACAAAGCUGGAGUUAGAUAAAGCGGUAACUUUACACAAAGACGCGGAGAACGCCGGAUUGAGGUAUGCUGACGUCAUUGAGGAUGAAGUAGAAAGUAUCAGCUGAACAAACGUAUUAUCUUUCCAAUAGGAAGGUUAAAUACGCUCAAUAAAAUAGUUCGCCACGCUUGAACAUGAGAAAGAAACUCGGCGAACAAGGCGUGAGUUCUAGAAUCAGAAACAUAUAAAAGCAGCAGACGACAGAGAAGGCUCGUCGUAUCAAACGGAACACGGAGAAUUACUGUAUUCCAGCUCCGAAAUUUGAGACGCUAUUUCGAAAGUCGCCACAUUUAUCCUUAAAGUUGUUUUGAUAUUGGAAAGACUGACUUUGCGCAGCUAAGUGUCGACGGUGAGAGUGUAUCAAGGGACAGAUGAGUUACACGAGAAAAUGAAGAGUAUUAAAGAAACCAAAACAUUCAUCAUCUUUAGAAGAAUCCUGCAGACUUGGCCGUACACUAACGGAAUUAACAUGAACACGGUUUUAAAGAGUUUCCGGGAAGGUCUAAAAGCAGGUUUAUGCCUUAGAUUGAACAUAUGUCGAGCCGUCCAGAAGACAUCUACAGGAUGCCUCCAUGCCUUUUAUCUAAGCAAUUUAAAACAACACGUGCGCCCCCUGGUGACACAUUGUUACAUCCGGGUGAUAUAUUGAUAGCUCUGUAUUCUAUUGCACCGAAUCCAUGGAGAUUGUGACUGAAAAUAAUGUAAUGAUGAUACAGUCUCGACGAAGCGAGCGCUUUUACUGGCGCUGAAGGAUGACCAACACUGGACCGCAGAUGGAAGAAGAUGAGCCGACAUCUAAGGCAUUCCAAAUGUCUCUGCAGCAAGCCUACAGACAUAGAUACAGCGUUCAAAGAAGGAUCAUUG